rnacentral:rRNA from 1 species
UCUGUGAACUCCUACGGGAGGCAGCAGUGGGGAAUAUUGGACAAUGGGCGAAAGCCUGAUCCAGCCAUGCCGCGUGUGUGAAGAAGGUCUUCGGAUUGUAAAGCACUUUAAGUUGGGAGGAAGGGCAUUAACCUAAUUAAUACCUAGGGAUAGUGGACGUUACUCGCAGAAUAAGCACCGGCUAACUCUGUGCCAGCAGCCGCGGUAAUACAGAGGGUGCGAGCGUUAAUCGGAUUUACUGGGCGUAAAGCGUGCGUAGGUGGCCAAUUAAGUCAAAUGUGAAAUCCCCGAGCUUAACUUGGGAAUUGCAUUCGAUACUGGUUGGCUAGAGUAUGGGAGAGGAUGGUAGAAUUCCAGGUGUAGCGGUGAAAUGCGUAGAGAUCUGGAGGAAUACCGAUGGCGAAGGCAGCCAUCUGGCCUAAUACUGACACUGAGGUACGGGAGCAUGGGGAGCAAACAGGAUUAGAAACCCGGGUAGUCCAUCAGCG